GCUGGUGUAGCUCAAGUGGAAGAGCGAUCGCUUUGUAAGCGAACGGUUGCAGGUUCAAUUCCUGUCACCAGCCCCA
rnacentral:tRNA from 1 species